rnacentral:rRNA from 1 species
ACUACCGUUUGAGGGGGUGGAAACUUUCUAGGCUUGCCUAGGGAGUAGUACAUCCUGUUCUUAACCCUUGACUUUUUGCGCACUCAUGUUUCCUUGGCGGGCUUGCCCGCCAAAAGGGUAAUCUAAUAACCUCUUUAAUUUUCAAUCAGCGUCUGAAUUAUUUUAAUAAUUACAACUUUCAACAACGGAUCUCUUGGUUCUGGCAUCGAUGAAGAACGCAGCGAAAUGCGAUAAGUAGUGUGAAUUGCAGAAUUCAGUGAAUCAUCGAAUCUUUGAACGCACAUUGCGCCCCUUGGUAUUCCAUGAGGCAUGCCUGUUCGAGCGUCAUUUGUACUCUCAAGCCUUGCUUGGUGUUGGGUGUUUGUCUCUGCUCUGCUUAGACUCGCCUUAAAUAUAUUGGCAGCCGGUAUACUGGUUUGAAGCGCAGCACAUUUGCAAUUCAAGCCUGUUAUUAUUGGUACCCACAAAGAAUAUCAACACUUUUGACCUCGGAUCAGGUAGGGAUACCCGCUGAACUUAAGCAUAUCAAUAAGCGGAGGAAAAGAAACCAACAGGGAUUGCCCUAGUAACGGCGAGUGAAGCGGCAACAGCUCAAAUUUGAAAUCUGGCUCUUUUAGGGUCCGAGUUGUAAUUUGCAGAGGGCGCUUUGGCGUUGGCAGCGGUCCAAGUUCUUUGGAACAGGACGUCACAGAGGGUGAGAAUCCCGUACGUGGUCGCUAUCCUUCGCCGUGUAAAGCCCCUUCGACGAGUCGAGUUGUUUGGGAAUGCAGCUCUAAAUGGGAGGUAAAUUUCUUCUAAAGCUAAAUACUGGCCAGAGACCGAUAGCGCACAAGUAGAGUGAUCGAAAGAUGAAAAGCACUUUGGAAAGAGAGUCAAAUAGCACGUGAAAUUGUUGAAAGGGAAGCGCUUGCAGCCA